ensembl:lncRNA
AAGCAAAAGAGAAAAGAUUAAAACACACACACACACACAAGUGCUUUCACAUAAAAUAAGGGAAAAGCAGGAGACACAGGGCAGGGAUUCUGUGGCUCUUGUUCCAUGGAGCUGAUAAUCACGUUUGCUACUCAGAAGCUAAGAACUACUUAUUGGAUGAAAGAGGGAAAGUUAAGCGUGUCCACAUUCACAGACCUGAAUCUUAGAAGCACACACACUGUCUGGCCCCAGUGAGGCGAGGGAGUCUGGGUGAUGGCCCUGGUCACAUGGUUGUAACAGCCGGAAAGCUUCCAGCCUUUGCUGUGAGCUCCCAGACACGUCAGAUACUGCAGUCACCAGAAAACCUGCUAUCACGAAACAUUUAGGAGACAAUUCUGGAGGAGAUGUAAGAGAAAGAUGCAGGCCCUGGUUGGGAAAAUCCCCUGGAGGAAGGCACGGCAACCCACUCCAGUAUUCUUGCUUGGAGAAUCCAAUGGACAGUGGAGCCUGGCAGGCUACAGUCCAUAGGGUUGCCAAGAGUCGUACGUGACUGAAGCGACUUAGGACACCUGUAAACACAGCAGGCUUUGCUACCAAAAAUCCCUACUGCAAACUGCUAUCGGAUCCUGUAAAUUUUCCUGGAGUGAAACACUGCCGAAGACCAUGCAACCAGAAGAUGGGAGAAAUAGAAUUCAAGCUUAGGAACCCUGACUUCCACAUAUGCUCUCCUAUCCAUCAUAUCUUACCACCCUCCAGAUGGCAUUAUGCUGGUACUGCACUUGAAAUUGGUGCUAUUAUAAUGAUUACUGCACUUCUUUGUUCUCUAACUCUUCUUUAACAAACACGCAUUAUUUGAUCAUCAAAGGGAGAAAAAGCCAUGAUUAAGAGACAGGAAGAAGAGGAAUCAGAAAGGAAAUAGACUACCAGGAAAUAAUUUAGGAUGGUACAAAUCACCAAGCGGAGGAGUAGCAAGGUUAAAUAUAACAGUUUUAUAGGAGAAAAUUUCCUUAAUUGUGGAAUAGGCAAGAUUCAUUAGCUAGGACACACAAAAUAUAAAUCACAAAAGGAAAAACUGAUAAAUUUAGCCUCAGUAAUAUUAAACAUUUCUACUGGGAACUCCCUGGUGGUCCAGCAGUUAAGACUUCACCUUCCAAUGCAAGGGACGUGGGUUUGAUCCCUGGUGGGGGAGCUAAGACCCCAGAUG